UACAGAGGUGGCAAGCGUUGUUCGGAAUUACUGGGCGUAAAGCGCGCGUAGGCGGACCUGCAAGUCGGGGGUGAAAGCCCGAGGCUCAACCUCGGAACUGCCUUCGAUACUGCGGGUCUCGAGUCCGGGAGAGGUGAGUGGAAUUCCUAGUGUAGAGGUGAAAUUCGUAGAUAUUCGCAAGAACACCAGUGGCGAAGGCGGCUGACUGGUCCGGUUCUGACGCUGAGGCGCGAAAGCGUGGGGAGCAAACAGG
rnacentral:rRNA from 1 species